AUGAUCAAGGAAGAAUUCAGGAGAAGGAUGUAAAGGAUUUAUGUAAUCCAUAAAAGAAGACAUAAUCUGACUGUUCCCUGAGUGACUGAGAAGUAGAUACAAAAAAAAGAGAAAAAGACAAUUGCUUCAGGAGACUAAUAAAGGCUUCAUGGAUCAGUUGCCUUGGGGGAAAGCAAGAUUGUAAGAACAAGGUGUCAUAAGUAAACAGAUGUAUGUAAGCAGUCACAUAGGUCGUGGUGUAGGCCUAGAGAUAAGUGAUAUAAGUGGUUGGACUUCAAUGUUCAGUGACGUCUGUCAGGAGCCCAGGCUGGUGGGGAGGCUCUGCUAUCCCCAUCCUGUGGCUCCCAGGCCGGAUCUAAGGUAGUAACUGCGGUUGUCAUUACCCAACCAGUGGG